CAGUAGCCACGGUAAUACGUAGGGUCCGAGCGUUGUCCGGAAUUACUGGGCGUAAAGAGCUCGUAGGUGGUUUGUCGCGUUGUUCGUGAAAACUCACAACUCAAUUGUGGGCGUGCGGGCGAUACGGGCAGACUGGAGUACUGCAGGGGAGACUGGAAUUCCUGGUGUAGCGGUGGAAUGCGCAGAUAUCAGGAGGAACACCGGUGGCGAAGGCGGGUCUCUGGGCAGUAACUGACGCUGAGGAGCGAAAGCGUGGGGAGCGAACAGGAUUAGAUACCCGAGUAGUCCCUGUCUCUUAUAC
rnacentral:rRNA from 1 species